rnacentral:rRNA from 1 species
GAUGAACGCUGGCGGCGUGCUUAACACAUGCAAGUCGAACGAGAAGUGGAGACGGAAACCUUCGGGCGGAAGACUUUACUUCGAGUGGCGGACGGGUGAGUAACGCGUGGGUAACCUGCCUCAUACAGGGGGAUAACAGUUGGAAACGACUGUUAAUACCGCAUAAGACCACAGCACCGCAUGGUGCGGGGGUAAAAACUCCGGUGGUAUGAGAUGGACCCGCGUUCGAUUAGCCAGUUGGCGGGGUAACGGCCCACCAAAGCGACGAUCGAUAGCCGAUCUGAGAGGAUGACCGGCCACAUUGGGACUGAGACACGGCCCAAACUCCUACGGGAGGCAGCAGUAGGGAAUAUUGCACAAUGGGGGAAACCCUGAUGCAGCGACGCCGCGUGAGUGAAGAAUUAUUUCGGUAUGUAAAGCUCUAUCAGCAGGGAAGAAAAUGACAGUACCUGAGUAAGAAGCCCCGGCUAACUACGUG